rnacentral:rRNA from 1 species
AACGAACGCUGGCGGCGUGCUUAAUACAUGCAAGUCGUACGAGAACGUCUGGCUUCGGCUGGACUAGUAAAGUGGCGAACGGGUGAGUAACACGUGAGAAACAUGCCCCUAUGUCUGGGAUAAGCCUGCGAAAGCGGGUCUAAUACUGGAUGCAGUCAUGAGAGGGCAUCCUUUUAUGACUAAAGGCGGUUGAGUCUAUGCCGUCGCAGAGGGAUUGUCUCGCGCUCCAUUAGCUUGAUGGUAGGGUAACGGCCUACCAUGGCUCCGAUGGAUAGCCGACCUGAGAGGGUGACCGGCCACACUGGGGCUGAGAUACGGCCCAGACUCCUACGGGAGGCAG